GACCCUUACCAAGGUUUGACAUGGCCGGAAAACUCAUGGAGACAUGGGGUCCUUCGGGGCCGGUCACAGGUGGUGCAUGGCUGUCGUCAGCUCGUGUCGUGAGAUGUUGGGUUAAGUCCCGCAACGAGCGCAACCCUCGUCCCAUGUUGCCAGCAGGUUAAGCUGGGGACUCAUGGGAGACUGCCGGGGUCAACUCGGAGGAAGGUGGGGAUGACGUCAAGUCAUCAUGCCCCUUAUGUCUUGGGCUGCAAACAUGCUACAAUGGCCGGUACAAAGCGCUGCGACAUCGUGAGAUGAAGCGAAUCGCAUAAAGCCGGUCUCAGUUCGGAUCGGGGUCUGCAACCCGGCCCCGUGAAGCCGGAGUCGCUAGUAAUCGCGGAUCAGCAACGCCGCGGUGAAUACGUUCCCGGGCCUUGUCACACCGA
rnacentral:rRNA from 1 species